AUGCUAAUACCUUGCUUUCAAUAUGAUUUCUAAGUCAUUUUUCUUUAUUUCAUAGGAAUUGUUUGCCUAUAUACUUCAAUGGUUGAAACCAUGCAUAUGUGAUUUGAGAUUUUCCAUGGAAGUUUGAUAAAUAUGAAUGAUAAAUUGCUUUCAAAUUCCCAUGAUAAUGUCUUGAUACCCCAUAUCAUAUUGUGACCAA
rnacentral:lncRNA from 1 species